GUUGGUGACCAGCGGAGGGUCAUUACCGAGUUUACAACUCCCAAACCCCUGUGAACAUACCACUUGUUGCCUCGGCGGAUCAGCCCGCUCCCGGUAAAACGGGACGGCCCGCCAGAGGACCCCUAAACUCUGUUUCUAUAUGUAACUUCUGAGUAAAACCAUAAAUAAAUCAAAACUUUCAACAACGGAUCUCUUGGUUCUGGCAUCGAUGAAGAACGCAGCAAAAUGCGAUAAGUAAUGUGAAUUGCAGAAUUCAGUGAAUCAUCGAAUCUUUGAACGCACAUUGCGCCCGCCAGUAUUCUGGCGGGCAUGCCUGUUCGAGCGUCAUUUCAACCCUCAAGCACAGCUUGGUGUUGGGACUCGCGUUAAUUCGCGUUCCUCAAAUUGAUUGGCGGUCACGUCGAGCUUCCAUAGCGUAGUAGUAAAACCCUCGUUACUGGUAAUCGUCGCGGCCACGCCGUUAAACCCCAACUUCUGAAUGUUGACCUCGGAUCAGGUAGGAAUACCCGCUGAACUUAAGCAUAUCAAUAAGCGGAGGAAAAGAAACCAACAGGGAUUGCCCUAGUAACGGCGAGUGAAGCGGCAACAGCUCAAAUUUGAAAUCUGGCUCUCGGGCCCGAGUUGUAAUUUGUAGAGGAUACUUUUGAUGCGGUGCCUUCCGAGUUCCCUGGAACGGGACGCCAUAGAGGGUGAGAGCCCCGUCUGGUUGGAUGCCAAAUCUCUGUAAAGUUCCUUCAACGAGUCGAGUAGUUUGGGAAUGCUGCUCUAAAUGGGAGGUAUAUGUCUUCUAAAGCUAAAUACCGGCCAGAGACCGAUAGCGCACAAGUAGAGUGAUCGAAAGAUGAAAAGCACUUUGAAAAGAGAGUUAAAAAGUACGUGAAAUUGUUGAAAGGGAAGCGUUUAUGACCAGACUUGGGCUUGGUUAAUCAUCUGGGGUUCUCCCCAGUGCACUUUUCCAGUCCAGGCCAGCAUCAGUUUUCCCCGGGGGAUAAAGGCGGCGGGAAUGUGGCUCUCUUCGGGGAGUGUUAUAGCCCACCGUGUAAUACCCUGGGGGGGACUGAGGUUCGCGCAUCUGCAAGGAUGCGGCG
rnacentral:rRNA from 1 species